AGAGCAGAUUUAUCUUAUCGCUUUAAAUUAAUUUUAAAGAGGAAAGUCCGGACACCAAAGAGUAAUCAUAGUGGAUAACAUCCAUCCAGCGUAAGCUGAGGACAAGUGCAACAGAAAGCAAGUACAGUUAGGCUGUAGUGAAACCAGGUAAACUCUAUGAGGUGCAAUGUCAUGUAAAUUAGAGCUUGAGAGCUACUCGCUCGAUUCUAAAGGGUAGGCAGAUAGAUUCUAAAAGUAAUUUUAGAACUAGAUAAAUGAUAAGAGCCUUACUUAUGUAAGGAACAGAAUUCGGCUUACAAGUCUGCUUUUUUA
rnacentral:RNase_P_RNA from 2 species